rnacentral:misc_RNA from 1 species
UCGGUUGGGCCUGAGUAUUAUGUUGGGAUUUUGUCUUUUGUUGAUAAGGAUCAGCUGGAGCCUGGCUGUGCUAUCUUGAUGCAUAAUAAGGUCCUAUCUGUUGUUGGGCUUCUUCAGGAUGAAGUUGAUCCAAUGGUGCUCUGUAAUGAAGGUUGAGAAGGCUCCAUUAGAGUCUUAUGCUGAUAUAGGCGGUUUAGAUGCCCAAAUACAAGAAAUUAAAGAAGCAGUUGAGCUCCCUCUGACUCAUCCUGAACUGUAUGAAGA